CACACACACACACACACACCUCAUGUUUCUCUCCCUACGAUGAUGUUUCAUCUUUAUGAGUCACAUCGUUUUCUUUCUCCUUGUGUAUCACACCACCAUGGAAAAAUGAUUCGAUCUCUUUGUUAGAGGAGCUCUUGUGCUCUUACUGCUAUGAAUCAGUUUUACUUUAUUCCACCCUGGUAUUUCUACUAGCACUAGCAGUGUGAUAAAGUGUCUGAGAUCAGCUGCUAUUACGUUAUUGUGAUCCAUAAUUCUCCACCACGCUGCAUCUGUAGCACAGCAAACACAAAAGACUUCUGGAUUUAUAAUUUAAAUUCUGUGAGCUCAGUAACAACAAAGCGCAUUUUUAUUGAUACCUUAUAUUAAACUUUGGUCAUGAUGAUCACUGAUAGGAUGUGUGUUACAGCCUUGCAUUGCCUAUAACACCACUUUGAUCUGCUAAGUCUCACACAACUUUAUAUAAAUACAUACAUGUUCAGCAGUUGAAAUAAAGGAAUUGGUGACAGAUAAAACAUGUGAUAUCUGAAAACUUAGAAUGAAGGAUUUUAUCAUACUACUAUAGGAGACACAGUGACGUGAUCACACUCACAUUUCUACUGCCAGUAAAACAGGUGCUCUGCAGUUGAUUUGCUUAUUUUAAAAGGCAUGGCCUUAAAAUAACCAAAAGAAUAUGUCAUUAUCAUUGUAAAGCAAUACCCAUAUUCAUCUUAAAAGAAAAAAAUCUUCUCAAAAUGUGGUGUCCAAACGCCUUUAGGGAUCCCAGGACCAAACUGGAUCCUUUAUUCCACUUUUUUCCUGUAAAUCAGGAAGUUUUGCAAGUUGUAACACAGGCAUUCUUACAUAGGCCCAUCAACCCUAAAUAGGAAGCUUCCCCAUUCAAUUCACAUUUGUAUUUGUUAAUUUUUAUGAUUUUUUUUUUUUUGUGUGGAUUUAAUAUUCACUCGUGUGGGGGUAAACUACUUUUGUAGCCACAUCUGUCCUGGGGCAGUCUGUCUGAAGAAAUUAUGUCGUGUUGCACCAUUGGCCCACCGACCACCAACAGCAUUCACACAAAGGCAGGCGGGUGCUCUGUGUUGCCCAAGAACCCUUCAACUGGGGUGGAUCCAAGUUCCAACUCCAAUUAUUGGACAAUUGACACUGGCUCCUGUACUCACUGGUUUUCCUGUAAACUAUUCAGGACUUAUGCUAAAUAAUUUAAUAAAUAAUAAAAAAAUAGUUCUGAUUUCAGCUGAAGCUGAGUUAAAGUAUAAAAGGCUACAAAAUAUUAACUGAAAUUAUUUUAUGGCAUUUUUUAAAAGGGCCAAUUGAGUCCCAAUGCUACUAACUGCUAGGUGUUUGGGGGAACCAGUUGGAGGGCAUUCUUUUCUAUAUCUUAUUCUCUGACAAAACAGGCAGCAUUUUGGAACUAGAUUUAAAUCAAGGACCCUUACAAAUUCUUAGAAUGACACAAUAAACUUGCUUUUAUAUCUUGAAGAAAUUGGGUGCAGCUUCCAGGCACUGGAACACUCCAAAGUUCAACCUCUGAACUCCAUCUUUCUCAUGCUCGGAGAAAAAAACAGAAACACAUUUAAACUCUUUAAAAGUGCCACCAGUGUUUGCCCUUGCAAACAGUUUAGCUGGGUUACAGACACACUCUUGUCUCUGAGCCAGAGGUGGCGAGCCAGGCCAAACAUCUCCUAUUCCCUGCUAAUGAAAUCCUGAAUAAAACCCUGCCUGCUGAGCUUGAUCCCACACACACGAACCCACAAACACAGACACAGAAAUAGACACCCACUCUUCAAGACUGAGCUGCACUUGCGCAGAACUCCUUGAGUCGCUGCCAGGGAUUAUCCUACAAAAACACUUCUUUUGUUGGACUUCAGUCAAAUUUCUUUUAAGGGCUAUCAUGCUGCAAUCAGAACUAGCUCUUCAACUUUUUGUUUACUCUGAAAAUCAAUAAAAGUGAAGGUGAGUCAGUUUGUGGUAUAUUUGGUAUUUUUCAUAGAUUUCACUAAACAGGGCCAAAGGUUGUUGUGACAGACUAAGUGAUAGAUCUAAAUUGUUUUUGCAUGAAUAUAAAAAAAGUUGUCCCUUGUCUUUGAUCCUGUUUGUGGACAGGAUCUGAAAACAUGCUCAUGGAGGGUUAGGGUGCUUGCUUCUGGAACAUCAUCUUUUUGCAAAUGACAUCCUUCUCUUGGCAUCUUUAAGCCAUGGCCUUUAAUUUGCACUGGGAGAGUUAACAGCUAAGUGUAAAACAGUCAAAAGGACAGUAUUUUCCACAAGCUGUUUAAAUGUCUUGGCAACUUGUUUAAGAGUGAAACACGAACCACCUUUGUGUACAGUGAUGAUGUUGCUGGUUAUGGAGACGAGGGAACAUGGAGUGGAAACCUGGAGGAGAGCAGGGAAGAGUAGUCUUGGAUUAUUCAGACGGCAGGUUUACUAACAAGAUACACAAGUUUAAGGCAGGUUAGUGGCUAGAGCUACCCAAACAGAGUAAUCAUCCAGCGUGGUGUAGUGUCACGCUGCGCCUUAAAUCCCUUUGAUGACAGGAUCAGCUGCAGCUGGUUGCUCUCAGACACGCCCACCUGCAGACACGAUUACUGACAGGCAGCUCACCCCGGACCAUGACAUUGACUCAGGCCCUGUCCACACGUAGCCGGGGAUCUGCCAAAACGUAGAUAUUUUUCUACGUUUUGGCAUGUCAUCCACAUGAAAACUGAGUUUUUUCACACGAAAACGGAUCUUUUUAAAAACUCCGGCCAAAGUGAAGAUCUGCGUUUUCUCCGUUUUGGGUGUCUGCGUGUGGACAGACAAAACCGGAGUUUUAAGGUCCGCAACGUCACUUUCCGCGACAAAAAAUGCUGACAUCACGUGUGCGACCUGUGUUUACACUAGCCGGCAUCAUAGAAGCCCUCAGAGCUGCGCUCUGUCACUACCCGAUCCAUCAAUUGUCCAAGCGCUUUCUGCUUGUUUGUUUUUGCAAGCGGAAUUACUGCUCCUUGCGGAAGACCACAGACGAAGGACGAGGUUAAGAACGGGGGAAGUACUGCCGCCUACAGGUCUGGCAUGUCCUUAACAACGUAUUUAUCCGGGUAUGUGUGGACAGAGUUUGGUUUUAAAACGUGGUGGUGUGGAUGCAAGUUUUUGGAGGGGCGGAUAUUCGUUUUCCAAAAACCCCGGCUACGUGUGGACUAGACCUCACACCAACAACCUGCUGGAGAGAGAAAAGAAAAUCUGAAUUCCUAGAAAUACAACAGAGGGCCACACACAAUCACUCUGAGAGCUGCGUUGGGCCUCACUUUGGGCCCAACUGUUCUGGACGGGCAAACUUAACUGACUGGGUUUGGAUUUUUAAAGAGCAUUCAGCUUUCCUUCAUUCGCCCUACUGCAGCACCUCAUACACUCAUGUUAUGCUUCACUCUGUGAGCAUGAAAAUGUGUGUAAUACGUUUCUGCUUGUGCCAUAGACACACACAGUUGAGGCUAGAAAAGCAGCAUGAGAGAUAAACAGACUAAUAGAACCUGGAGGAGAAGCAACGCCCAUGCAUGUGUUCUUUGUGUGCACACGUAUGCAGGAGGUGAAAUCUAGCUGUGUAGGUCCCUCACAUUGUUGAUUUAAGUGGAAGUGAGGAGAGAAGAUGGGAUAAAAGGCCUGGUUAGAUUAGGCUGAAGCACACCACUGAGGUGUGUGUAGUGCCCGGCUUUUAGCGUGCUCAGAGUGAGGGGAUGUGUGUGUGUCUGAGUGCUUGGGAGAUGAGUACUUUUCUGACAAAGUUCAAAAUUGGUUUGUGUGUCAAGCAGUUGGAUGCAGUUACACCGCUGCUGAUAUUGGUGCAGCUGCACAGUAAAUCAGAAGAUUAGCUGAGCCACCAGAGCAACUAUAAUAGCACAGAGAAGACUAAUCAUCGCUCUGACAUCCCAGUAAUAUUCUGUCCUGCACAUCGAAGAAAAAGAAGAAGAAGAAGAAAUCAUUUCUAUAGCGCCACUCAAGAUAAAAAUCACAAGGCGCUUCAAAUGAUAAAUGGCCCGCACUUGUAUAACACCUCUCAGAGUAAGGACUCCAAAGUGCUUUACACUACAGUGUAUCAAUCAUCCAUUCACACACACAUUCACACACUGAUGGUGAUGAGCUACAAUGUAGCCACAGCUGCUCUUUGGGGCGCACUGACAGAGGUGAGGCUGCCAAGCACAGGCACCAGCCACUCAACCCAAGGUGGGUUAAGUGUCUUGCCCAAGGACACAACAGCAGAAUUCUCUGUCUGGAGCCAUUUUCAAACCUGCAACCUUCUGAUUACUGGACAUUACUGCUGUUCCUAGUAGUACACAUAGCACGUAGUGUUGUUAACACCGUGCUUUUAUGACUUGUGAGUCUGGAGGUUAAUCACAUCCAUAGCUUGUACCAAAUGUGUCGGCCUAGUUUUCUAUUAGUGGAUGAGAUGGAGAGAAUUUUAAAAUCACUGCAACUGCUUUUUGUCUUUAUUUGCUAGAAUUGCUCUUAUACGUUUUCAGUUUUUGUGGGUAGGUGGCCAAGUUAUUUGUUCUAACAGUAAUGUUCAUUACAUGUCUGUUGCAGAACAUAUUUUUAAUCAGUGUCUCGGUUAGUAGGAGUCUGGCAGCUUAAGGUUUAGAACUAGUUUUAAAGCUUAACCCUCUGGAGGCAGGCGUUGCAGAUUCGCAACUUUAAAACCUACCUACCUGGUUACUCCACAUAUGUAUUUCAUGAGCAUUUUUUUUAACUCAGAAGUACCCCUGAAGGACUUAGUUGUUCAUCCUUUUAUCAAAAUGUACUUUGAGCCUGAGAGGGUUAAGGCGAAGUAGAUUUAAAGUGUAAAGGCCAGGGUGGGGACGUAUUUCAUCCACACUUCCUGUUAGGAAAACGCUUCUGAAAGAGGCGUCUCCUGGUGGACCGAGAGAGCGGCACUGAAGCAGUGGUAGGCCGCACCCCCCUCAACAAUAGACUUUUUGUGUGAUAUGCUUGUCAGCCACUAGAUGGUGCCAUCGAAUAAGAGAAUUACUCCGGAAAGAAGCUUUAGCAUAACCGCUUCAAACGUGGUGACACUGCUCGCAAAAAGACAAGUCGUCCAUCAUCUUGCCUGUUCAGAUACCGAACAUCAGUGUCAGAGCUUGAUAUGUGCAACAUGUGCGGCCGAACAGGGCGGCAGUCUGGAGGGGGCGGCAUUUAAUUUAUUUAUUUUUUUAAUAAUAAUAGUGAUGAGUGAUGAUAAUAAUAAUAUUUCUUUAAUUAAAGCACAACAAAGUCAUUGUUUGCGUUUAUAUUGGGAUUUUAUUGCGCCCCCUUGUGUCCGCCGCGCCUCUGUAGUGCGCUCUAUAGCGCCCUUCUUCAGGUGGGGGGCGGAGGGAUCUCGGAGAGUGAUGAUGGGGGGAUACAGAUACCGUUUCACAUAUCACCGCUCACAAACAUAAUGGAGAAGAAGCGGUCCAAGCCAUCUGGUGCCCAAUUUCGGAAAAAAAGAAAAGAAGAGGAGGAGAAACGAGGAAAAGAUGCAGGUAUGCAUCUCUUUAUUAUUUAGCUGGUAUUUUUCCCACCUGUCCCCCAACUUAUUGAUUAACUAACCUCUCUAAUCUGAAUGUUUUGCAUGGUGCUAUGAUGAUCCCUUCAAAUGUCUUUUGCUAGCUUCUUACGUUGCAUGUAUUUAGAACUACUUCCAACCGCUAGCUUUUUCUUUGUCAAAUGAGCUUCUAUGAAAAGCUAAGAGUGGGAAAACCGAAAGGCUGAUAACCAAAUGCUAUCAAAUUAAAAUGAGUCUUUGAGAAUUUUGCUGAAAUACAUUGACGGCGGGCGGCAGGUCUCGCGCCGGCGCCAUUCGCCUUUCUUUUUGGACUCGGGAAAUGAGCUACGUAUUAUUUCCCCCACGAAAAACGGAGCGGCAGCGGGCCGCUGCAGGUGCCCUGCUAGUAAGAUCCCGUGUAUACUGUAAACUGCCAUAAAAUAAAAACUAUAAUAGCUAGAGCGGUCUUUUUUUAGCUGAAAGUUGAGACUGUCUCGCCUUUCAGCACUGUACAAGUCGAUGAUAUCAUCGUGUUGCAUUAAGUGUGCUGCACAGCACACUGCGGCUAUGUUAACUCACAGUGACCUUGAAGCAGCGUGGGAGAGUUGAAGAAUUUAACCAGUUAACAUGGAUUCAUGGAUAUUUAAUCAAUAGUUGUGGCUCCUCUGGUCAUUUAGUUCUUUGUGUGCCGGAGACAUUUGCUGAAUAAGGAAAUAAAAACUUAAAAUGACAAAAAAAUUAGGGGAAAACACUUGUUUUGUGUCUUAUUAAUUAUUAAUGAUUAAUUGAUUGUUGGUAUUUUAACUUUUGGUAAAGGAAAACACACAAUUUCCAGGCAGCCCCAGUCUGGAGAAGUGAUGGUGACAUCAGCCGUUAAAAAUAAAUAAUACUCUGAGGUUUUUAUGAAUAAUUUGUACAUUUACUUGAGUAUUUCUCUAACACCAGUACUUUUACUUGUAAAUGAGUAAUAUUUUAGCAAUGUAACAGUACUUGUACUUGAGUACAGAUUUUCAGAAUUCUUUCCACCACUGCUGAAAACUGUAAAUGCUCAUUGUAACAUGUUAAUUAAAAUGCUUAAGCAACAGACGUGACAUGAAGAUUGUAUUGUUUGUUUUAUGCAACAUCAGGAGCCCUACACAGAUAUUUUGGGAUGACAUCAGCUGCCACUGAGGAACAGCCAUCUACCUCCACUGCUCAUACCAGUAGGCCAGUAUUUGAACUCGAGGAGGGACAGUCUGCUUGCACCACAUCUCCCCAGGAAGAUACUUUAGAGAGACCUACCAGUAUAUGUGAACUUGAUGAGGGACAGCCAGCUGCCACUUCUCCCCAACAAGAUAUGUCAGAGAAGCCUGUACGAUCAACCAAUGAGUCCCAGUGAAGGUGAUGAUGAGCCUCUUUCUUCAGACCCAGCCAAGUGGCCAUCACCAAUUACCGACAGCAUACGCACAGAGCUAGUUCGAAGAGGACCUACCAAGGUGCCAACUACUUUCAUAUUUCCCAGGAAUGAAGGCGAUGGCAGAUGUUGUCAUCAUCACUAUUUCAGUAGAACUUUGAUAAGUGGUGAGAAGGUGGCCAGGAGCUGGAUGUUGUAUUCAGUUAGCAAACGCUGUUAUAUAUAAUACAAUCCACGCAAUUUGAAACAAAGUUGUAGGUGUAAUUUUUUUUCUUGUGUGUGUUUGUGUGUGUGUGUGUGUGUGUGUGGGG